rnacentral:rRNA from 1 species
UGAGGAAUAUUGGUCAAUGGGCGCGAGCCUGAACCAGCCAAGUAGCGUGAAGGAUGAAGGUCCUAUGGAUUGUAAACUUCUUUUAUAGCAGAAUAAAGUGACCCACGUGUGGGUUUUUGUAUGUAUGCUAUGAAUAAGGAUCGGCUAACUCCGUGCCAGCAGCCGCGGUAAUACGGAGGAUCCGAGCGUUAUCCGGAUUUAUUGGGUUUAAAGGGUGCGUAGGCGGAAAGAUACGUCAGCCUGUGAAAGUUUGCGGCUCAACCGUAAAAUUGCAGUUGAUACUGUUUUUCUUGAGUGUACAUAAGGUAGGCGGAAUUCGUGGUGUAGCGGUGAAAUGCUUAGAUAUCACGAAGAACUCCGAUUGCGAAGGCAGCUUACCGGGGUACAACUGACGCUGAUGCACGAAAGUGUGGGUAUCAAACA